rnacentral:lncRNA from 1 species
UGGCCAGACCAAAGUCCAGGUAGCCAGGAGGUAUCUGAAGAGGACCCAGCAGGCCAGAGCUCAGGGUCAGUGGAGCCCAGGGUCAGGGGUCUGCUGGCCUCUUGAGCCCGGUUCGCCCCACCUCAGGGUCUUUGCAAGGCUGUUUCCCCUCAUGCGCACUUCCUCCAGGUACCUCCUUGCUGCCUCUGGUCGUCGUCUCACGCAAGACUCGGGUGGGCUCAGAGAGGAGAGCACCACCAAUCAUGGUCCAGGCUCCACCAGGUUGGGUGGAAGCCAAGGUGGGGUGUCAGGGUGGAGCCUAGGCUCCACGGGGGUUUUAGGGGAGACCCUCAAGGUGGGGGAUCAGGGUGGGGGCUCAGACUCCAUCGAGGGGUCAGGGGGUCAGGCUCCAUCAGGUUGGGGCUCAGACUCCAUUGACGGGGUAAGGAAAGGCCAGGCUCCGUCACGGUCGGGAGCCGGGGUCCACCAGGUGGGCCCUGGCGUGAAUCGAGUGCAGAACCAAAGCUGCCAAGAGGAUGCCCAAUGGGAAGGUGGUCCAGAACCCUCGGCCCGGCUUCGCAGGAAGCCCGCGGAUCGCCUGCCCUCUCCGCGCACCCCGCCUCCUCCAGCCCCGAAAAGCAGGAGGGUCGCCCCCGCCCCCCGGCCACACCCCCGCCAGGACGUCACAAAAAAGGCCCCGAGAGCCUCGGCGACCGCGCCAGACGGAGCAGCCCGCCUCCCGCGCACAGGCGUCCGC